UUUUAUUACGCGCAGAAAAAAGAAAACCCAACUGAUUUCCGUUUAUAGAACUCGUAAUCCGUGUGUAUCUUUGUGCACCCUCUGUAUAAGAAGUCUUCGAAUGUUCUACAACAGAAGCAUAGCUCUUCUUUUUGACAGACGUUCUUUUCCUGCGAACGAAAAUCGUGCACGGAUCAAGUUUUUUGAUUUUUGUUUGAAGCAUAACUUUUCCUUUUGACAAACGCUUUUCUCCUAAAAGAAAAUCAUGCACGGAUCAAGUUUUUUGAUUUUUGCUUGAUCGGUUGCGCACGGAUCAAGUGUCUUCGGAGAUCAAGUUUGUUAUAAUCUGUUUUCAUCGAGACACCCCUCAAAUUAAACGCCAUCAGAACAUACAAAUAAGAAUACAUCGCAGUUUGUAGGAGGAUCGUGCAGUGAUGUGGAAGUUAAUCAAUUCGCCGACGAAAGAGAACGUAAAAAGAAGGAAAUUUCUAAAGCAAGAUCCUUGGCGCAACAAGCACGUAGAGUAAGAGAAAAACAAGAAAAAGAGCAACAGGAAAGACACAAACAACAAUUGCCAAAGAGUCGGUUUCCACAAAUAACAUCGGUCGCUGAUUCUGUCAUUCGAAAAGGUGCACUUGAACCUGAUCAAAAGAAGGAAACUUCAAUAUUAAGAUCCUUGGCACAACAGGCAUGAAGAGAAAAAGAAAAACAAGAAAAAAAGCUACGGGAAAGACACAAACAAGGAUUGCCAAAUAACCAGUUUCCACAAAUAGCAUCGGUCACUGAUUCAGCCGUGACUCAGAAAUAUGUCCUUGGACCUGAUCAAGCAAGUAUAAUUAGUUUAUAUUUAAGAACAAUAUUUAAAGGUAAUUUAACAACAAAUCUGUCUUUUCCAGAUUACCAAAGAAACAUGCUUGCAGUAUAAUCAAUCCACACCUAAAAGUGAGGCUAAAAAAAGAAACUUCAAAAGUACAAUCUCUGAGACAACAAACACGUCGAGCAAUAGAGAAACAACAAAAGGAACGUCGGGAAAUGGUGCAGAAUAGGCUACCUCAACAAAAAGUAUUAUAUUGAAAGAUGCGAAGGUCCCAACGAGAACGUCGCGCCCAAUCGGAAAAUAAAGCAUCAAUGGCACACUGCUUGGCGCAACAAGCAGGCCAACAAAGAGAGAUAACAAAAAGUUAUUCGACCAUCAAAAGAACCGUCAAUGGAAAAAUGUUUGGCACAACAAGCAGCACAAAAAUCACGUAGACAAAGAGAAAAACAAGAAAAAAAAACUAUCUGGAAGGAUUCAGAAUGAACGAAGGUGCGCAAAAAAAGUCUGAACAAGUAUAUCGACCAGAUAAUGAUAAUGGCAACGCGCAAUUUGAUCCGAUGAACGAACAUGCGAUGCAAAUCCAGGGAAGAAAAUAAAAAAGAAAAAAGAAUGAGCAAAAUCAAACCUUUGCAGGAUAAUCCUAAACGCAUGAAAAGAAAGAGAAUUGUAGAACCUACUAUGCUAGAAAAAGAAACAAUGAAUCCUGAGACUAAAGCUCAUCGCGGCGAUCGGGUAAAAGCAAAUUAACAUGAAGUGAACCUUCUGCUUUGUAAUUUAUAUACCGCGUUAAUGAAAACAAAAAAGGCUGAUUUUAACUGAA